UGCCAGUAUCAAGUCAUGUGAAGACAUGAU
rnacentral:piRNA from 1 species